rnacentral:rRNA from 4 species
AGAGUUUGAUCAUGGCUCAGAUUGAACGCUGGCGGCAGGCCUAACACAUGCAAGUCGAACGGUAACAGGAAGCAGCUUGCUGCUUUGCUGACGAGUGGCGGACGGGUGAGUAAUGUCUGGGAAACUGCCCGAUGGAGGGGGAUAACUACUGGAAACGGUAGCUAAUACCGCAUAACGUCGCAAGACCAAAGAGGGGGACCUUAGGGCCUCUUGCCAUCGGAUGUGCCCAGAUGGGAUUAGCUAGUAGGUGGGGUAACGGCUCACCUAGGCGACGAUCCCUAGCUGGUCUGAGAGGAUGACCAGCCACACUGGAACUGAGACACGGUCCAGACUCCUACGGGAGGCAGCAGUGGGGAAUAUUGCACAAUGGGCGCAAGCCUGAUGCAGCCAUGCCGCGUGUAUGAAGAAGGCCUUCGGGUUGUAAAGUACUUUCAGCGGGGAGGAAGGGAGUAAAGUUAAUACCUUUGCUCAUUGACGUUACCCGCAGAAGAAGCACCGGCUAACUCCGUGCCAGCAGCCGCGGUAAUACGGAGGGUGCAAGCGUUAAUCGGAAUUACUGGGCGUAAAGCGCACGCAGGCGGUUUGUUAAGUCAGAUGUGAAAUCCCCAGGCUCAACCUGGGAACUGCAUCUGAUACUGGCAAGCUUGAGUCUCGUAGAGGGGGGUAGAAUUCCAGGUGUAGCGGUGAAAUGCGUAGAGAUCUGGAGGAAUACCGGUGGCGAAGGCGGCCCCCUGGACGAAGACUGACGCUCAGGUGCGAAAGCGUGGGGAGCAAACAGGAUUAGAUACCCUGGUAGUCCACGCCGUAAACGAUGUCGACUUGGAGGUUGUGCCCUUGAGGCGUGGCUUCCGGAGCUAACGCGUUAAGUCGACCGCCUGGGGAGUACGGCCGCAAGGUUAAAACUCAAAUGAAUUGACGGGGGCCCGCACAAGCGGUGGAGCAUGUGGUUUAAUUCGAUGCAACGCGAAGAACCUUACCUGGUCUUGACAUCCACGGAAGUUUUCAGAGAUGAGAAUGUGCCUUCGGGAACCGUGAGACAGGUGCUGCAUGGCUGUCGUCAGCUCGUGUUGUGAAAUGUUGGGUUAAGUCCCGCAACGAGCGCAACCCUUAUCCUUUGUUGCCAGCGGUCCGGCCGGGAACUCAAAGGAGACUGCCAGUGAUAAACUGGAGGAAGGUGGGGAUGACGUCAAGUCAUCAUGGCCCUUACGACCAGGGCUACACACGUGCUACAAUGGCGCAUACAAAGAGAAGCGACCUCGCGAGAGCAAGCGGACCUCAUAAAGUGCGUCGUAGUCCGGAUUGGAGUCUGCAACUCGACUCCAUGAAGUCGGAAUCGCUAGUAAUCGUGGAUCAGAAUGCCACGGUGAAUACGUUCCCGGGCCUUGUACACACCGCCCGUCACACCAUGGGAGUGGGUUGCAAAAGAAGUAGGUAGCUUAACCUUCGGGAGGGCGCUUACCACUUUGUGAUUCAUGACUGGGGUGAAGUCGUAACAAGGUAACCGUAGGGGAACCUGCGGUUGGAUCACCU